AGUGAACGCUGGCGGUAGGCCUAACACAUGCAAGUCGAACGGCGGCACAGUAAGAGCUUGCUCUUACGGGUGGCGAGUGGCGGACGGGUGAGGAAUACAUCGAAAUCUACUUUUUCGUGGGGGAUAACGUAGGGAAACUUACGCUAAUACCGCAUACGACCUACGGGUGAAAGCAGGGGAUCUUCGGACCUUGCGCGAUUGAAUGAGCCGAUGUCGGAUUAGCUAGUUGGCGGGGUAAAGGCCCACCAAGGCGACGAUCCGUAGCUGGUCUGAGAGGAUGAUCAGCCACACUGGAACUGAGACACGGUCCAGACUCCUACGGGAGGCAGCAGUGGGGAAUAUUGGACAAUGGGCGCAAGCCUGAUCCAGCCAUACCGCGUGGGUGAAGAAGGCCUUCGGGUUGUAAAGCCCUUUUGUUGGGAAAGAAAGGCAGCAGGUUAAUACCCCGCUGUUCUGACGGUACCCAAAGAAUAAGCACCGGCUAACUUCGUG
rnacentral:rRNA from 1 species